GAUGAACGCUAGCGGGAGGCUUAACACAUGCAAGUCGCGGGGCAGCAUGAUGUAGCAAUACAUUGAUGGCGACCGGCGCACGGGUGAGUAACGCGUAUGCAACCUGCCCAGUACAGGGGGAUAGCCCGGAGAAAUUCGGAUUAAUACCCCAUAAUGAUAAGAGAUGGCAUCAUUUUUAUUAAAGUUACGGCGGUGCUGGAUGGGCAUGCGUGACAUUAGCUAGUUGGUAGGGUAACGGCCUACCAAGGCAUCGAUGUCUAGGGGUCCUGAGAGGGUGAUCCCCCACACUGGUACUGAGACACGGACCAGACUCCUACGGGAGGCAGCAGUGAGGAAUAUUGGUCAAUGGGCGCAAGCCUGAACCAGCCAUCCCGCGUGAAGGAAGAAUGCGCUAUGCGUUGUAAACUUCUUUUCCAGGGGAAAAAAAUUUCGUACGUGUACGGGACUGAAGGUACCUUGGGAAUAAGCAUCGGCUAACUCCGUGCCAGCAGCCGCGGUAAU
rnacentral:rRNA from 1 species